rnacentral:misc_RNA from 1 species
AAGUCGUAACAAGGUUUCCGUAGGUGAACCUGCGGAAGGAUCAUUAGCAUAUAGGAGUUUGGGUUGGGGGGGGGUGCGGCGACACUGUUGUGUGCUGCAUGCCCCUCAACACUACUACCACCACCAUGUGAACGAGGAUGAUGAUGUGGGUGCUCUGCGCGCGCGCGUGAGGCACGGACGGACCUUGGCGUUUGUCCGUGCGUGCCGGCCGUGUCCUCUGCUGCUGCGGCAGGGCAACCGCAUUCUAUAACAUACAUACGUAAUGACGAUGCAUCCAUGCGAUGUAUUAUAAUAAUGACACACACUUGAACAUUAUCUCAACUUUUUAUACAACUUUUAACAAUGGAUCUCUUGGCUCCU